AGUUAGGUAAAACUGACUUAUGCUGUCCCAACAGCGUAGCGACUAGAACUCGCAUUGGACUUCUAACAAAGGAGAAAACAAAUG
rnacentral:ncRNA from 1 species